rnacentral:rRNA from 1 species
UACGUAGGGGGCAAGCGUUGUCCGGAAUCAUUGGGCGUAAAGAGCGUGUAGGCGGCCCGAUAAGUCCGCCGUGAAAGUCCAGGGCUCAACCCUGGAAUGCCGGUGGAAACUGUCGGGCUGGAGUCCGGAAGAGGCGAGUGGAAUUCCUGGUGUGAGCGGUGAAAUGCGUAGAGAUCAGGAAGAACACCGGUGGCGAAAGCGUUCUGCUAGGCCUGUACUGACACUGGAGGG